rnacentral:rRNA from 1 species
CGCUGGCGGCGUGCUUAACACAUGCAAGUCGAACGGAAAGGCCCUUCGGGGUACUCGAGUGGCGAACGGGUGAGUAACACGUGGGUGAUCUGCCCUGCACUUUGGGAUAAGCCUGGGAAACUGGGUCUAAUACCGAAUAGGACCACGCGCUUCAUGGUGUGUGGUGGAAAGCUUUUGCGGUGUGGGAUGGGCCCGCGGCCUAUCAGCUUGUUGGUGGGGUAAUGGCCUACCAAGGCGACGACGGGUAGCCGGCCUGAGAGGGUGACCGGCCACACUGGGACUGAGAUACGGCCCAGACUCCUACGGGAGGCAGCAGUGGGGAAUAUUGCACAAUGGGCGCAAGCCUGAUGCAGCGACGCCGCGUGAGGGAUGACGGCCUUCGGGUUGUAAACCUCUUUCAAUAGGGACGAAGCGCAAGUGACGGUACCUAUAGAAGAAGCACCGGCCAACUACGUGCCAGCAGCCGCGGUAAUACGUAGGGUGCGAGCGUUGUCCGGAAUUACUGGGCGUAAAGAGCUCGUGGGUGGUUUGUCGCGUUGUUCGUGAAAACUCACAGCUUAACUGUGGGCGUGCGGGCGAUACGGGCAGACUAGAGUACUGCAGGGGAGACUGGAAUUCCUGGUGUAGCGGUGGAAUGCGCAGAUAUCAGGAGGAACACCGGUGGCGAAGGCGGGUCUCUGGGCAGUAACUGACGCUGAGGAGCGAAAGCGUGGGGAGCGAACAGGAUUAGAUACCCUGGUAGUCCACGCCGUAAACGGUGGGUACUAGGUGUGGGUUCCUUCCUUGGGAUCCGUGCCGUAGCUAACGCAUUAAGUACCCCGCCUGGGGAGUACGGCCGCAAGGCUAAAACUCAAAGGAAUUGACGGGGGCCCGCACAAGCGGCGGAGCAUGUGGAUUAAUUCGAUGCAACGCGAAGAACCUUACCUGGGUUUGACAUGCACAGGACGCCGGCAGAGAUGUCGGUUCCCUUGUGGCCUGUGUGCAGGUGGUGCAUGGCUGUCGUCAGCUCGUGUCGUGAGAUGUUGGGUUAAGUCCCGCAACGAGCGCAACCCUUGUCCUAUGUUGCCAGCGGGUUAUGCCGGGGACUCGUAGGAGACUGCCGGGGUCAACUCGGAGGAAGGUGGGGAUGACGUCAAGUCAUCAUGCCCCUUAUGUCCAGGGCUUCGCACAUGCUACAAUGGCCGGUACAAAGGGCUGCGAUGCCGUGAGGUGGAGCGAAUCCUUUCAAAGCCGGUCUCAGUUCGGAUCGGGGUCUGCAACUCGACCCCGGGAAGUCGGAGUCGCUAGUAAUCGCAGAUCAGCAACGCUGCGGUGAAUACGUUCCCGGGCCU